ACGCUUCGGCAGCGCGGAUCCUAACAACCGGAAGGAUACAGAGAAGGUUAGCCUGGCUCCCGAGCAAGGAUGACGCGAAAAUCUGUGAAGCGUUCCGUUA
rnacentral:snRNA from 1 species